rnacentral:sRNA from 1 species
AUAGAUUUGGUAUAUAUAUAUAUAUACUAGAUCAUAACCCGUGCUAUACAGCACGGGCAUUUAUAAAUUAAAUUGUAUAUUUUGUUUGAAUUACAUAAGAAAUAGUAUAGUAUAAAAGUGAUGUCAUAAUAUUUUUUAAUGUUUUUACUAUUUGCAUAUAAUGCUGCAUUAGAUUGACUUUGUUUAAAAAU